rnacentral:lncRNA from 1 species
UGUUGUUCUCUUUCUUGGUUUUCUUGUUCCUAAUAUUCCAUCUCUUUAUGAAAAGCCUUUUCUUUCUUUUGGUUUCCAGGAAAAGAAAAAGGGCUAAUAAAGCAGAAGAGGAUGCGAAGAUGCGUAAUCGAGGGAGUUGGAAGAGUUCAUAGUAAAACAAGAGAAGAUACGUAACCAGCAGGUACGAUAUCACGUGUAUUAUUUAUUCAAUAUUUGAUCGUCGUCUCAUGAUGAGUCAUGAUUUGCCAUAGGCUGCAUUUGUUUGCACUCGGAGCUCCGGUAAUCUUCGGUUCGUAGAGUUUAAUAAUGAUUGGUGCCGUAGGCUGUAUUUUGUUCGCAGUCGGAGCUCCGACGGAGAAUGAUUAGAUAUUUCUUGUUCUUGGUGCCACAGCACAAUGAGUAGUUGUUUGAAAAACAAAAGAAUGAUGUGAUUGCAUCAAAUGCUCAUCCGAGUACGGAUCUUUAUCCGACAAAUACCCUAAUUUAUUUAUUAAUCUUU